GGGGGCAUUUAAACGCCGAGCGCUCCGACCGCGCGGCACCGCGGGCCAGGGAGGCGGUGGCGGUGGCCCCCAGGGGGUGGGGGCGGGCCGGGCCGGGCCGUACACACACACCCCCACCGCGACAGCCCCCUGGGUCUCGUCCGCCAGCUGAGAGAGGAAGGCAGGAGAGACCUGGAGGCUGCGCCCGGCCCGCGGAGCCCACCGGCCGUCCCCUGCAGGGUGAGUGCUGCUGCCAGGGCGCCCCAGCGUCACCCUGCUGUCGGCGCUGUCAAGCUUGCACCGGGCACCUCUGCUGCGCACCAAGGGCAGCGGCGCGGGGUGGGGGUGGCUAGGGGACGCGACUAGAUCCACGGCAUGGGGCGAGGGAUGGGGCGGAGAGAGGCAGAGACAGUGCUGAGAACAUCAGCCCUUGGGACGAGAAUGAGAAUGGAACCGUGGAUGUGGCUGGGGACUUCUACCGGGCUGGGAAUUAAGAUAAGGACAGGAAUGAGGGUGAGGAUAAGGUAGAGAAUAGGCAUGGGACGGAGGAUACGGAUGUGGAUGGGAUGCGGGUGGAGGUGGAGACCGUAACAGUGCCGGUGCCGAGGGGUCUCGCCGGUCCAGCCCCGCCGCAGUCCCAGCGCGACGCCACGCCAAGAGUUAAAGGGGCUUGUCCAGCCGCAUCACCAGGCGGCCGCGGACAUUAGCAUGGAAAUGAGGCGCUUUUGGGACUGACGGCCAUUGUGCUCUCCCAGGCUCACCGGCCACCUUCUGGCCCUCAUCCCUGCUCCCCCCGCACCUCCGCCGGGCUCACCCUCGCCAGCCUAGGGUUGGGGUAGGGAAGGAGGAGCCGGGGGCAGGAGGACGAAUGAUUGGACGGGGGCCCGGGGGCUCCGCAGCCCAUCUGCUGUGCUCCCGCAUCGCCGCUGCCGCCCGUCCGCCUUGGGACAGGGUGGGGGGACGGCUGUCCGGGGUGUCGCGGGUCGCAGCCCGAGGAGGCGACCCGGGACAGGGGCAGAGGAGAGGAGGAAGGCGCAGGGCCCACAGCCCGGCCCCUUUGUCCCUGCGCUCCACCACCCGGGUCGGCAGUAGGGAGAGGCGGCAGACGGCCAGUGGCAGAGGCGGCCCCAGGACCCUCGGGAACCGCGCUGAGCAUCGGCUCCAACCCACCCCUCCCCAGCACCGUGGGGAGGUGGGUCAAGAGAUGGGUCCGUGGCCAGAGAAGGAGGGAUGGUGGUGAGAUAUGGGUUACGACCUCAUGUGCGGUUUACGUAUGCGGAAAGGGAAAGGGGCGGUAAAGGCCGGGCAUCCGUCUGUCCCAGCGCACCCAGCCGUCUGCAGGCAGAAAGGACGGGACCAAAAGUCUUCAAAAGCAGUUCUGCGAAGCGUCAGCCUCGGAGAAAGAUGGAUGGAACGUCAUGUCCCCUGACACUAGCCCCAGGAGGGGCUACCCCCUCUAUUUCUGCAGUCAGCAUCCGGAAAUCUGGGCACAAAAGAAACCCCGACCCUUACAUGAGCGUUGCGGUCCAAUUUAACCCAGUGGCAGAGGAGUGAAAAUGCCGGUGAGGCUGCUCGCUUUCCGCAGGGACAUGGCUGGAGCAGAGGGAAGGAGGAGAACCGAGGCCGAGGUUUCACCGCGCCCGCAGCUCAGCCAAGCUGUUGUUUUAAAAGAGCAAUAAAAGUGAAUUAUGACUAAACGCCUUCUCACUUAAUGGUUUUAGACGGGGAUCCCCAGCCUCGGCAAAUACGUAAGAGGAUUUUUAUUUGUGAAUGUGUUCCUGCAAUUGAUCUCUUUGAUGACAUUCUCAUUCAUAGAAAGAGUUUGAUUUAUGACUUUCGGAAGAAUUGCGUUCAGCCCUUCCAGCUAUAACCCACGCAUCCCAGCUCCACAGCGUGCUACGGGGCUGGGAGACGACACUGCUCGCACGGACGGACAGCGGAGCCCCGUUCUCAGCCCCCCAGCCAAGCCCCACUCGCUUGUGUAAUGCAGACACCCGCACUCACUCACUCCAGGAGCCGCGAACGUCCCCGCCCGGGAUGCCCCGGUCCCGGAGCCGCAGAGCCCCGCUGGCAUCUGUUGCUCCCUUUUAGCCCGAAGGACAGGGCUCACCCUCCGCUUUGGGGCUCGGCAACGCCGGGUGGCAGGCAAUUCGGUGGAGAUUCCUGAAAGCCCGUCUAUGCCGCCUCCAGCAGAAGAGCGGGGAGCCCGAGGAAAUUGUAACUUUAAAGUCAGUUUCCCCUUUUCCUUAUCUGUCUUUCACCUCUCAAGAAGGCUUACACAGAAAAAUAUGUUCGGGUCUGCCCCCGCACCGCCCCCGAGAAGGAUGGAGAGGCCAGUUCCUCCCUAAAUAUUUUUUUUCUUCCCCCUGCAUUUCUGCAGCCCUUUUGAUUUUACAGGCACUAACUUCUCUAUUUCCUCUCCUCCUAGGGCUGAUUUCUUGGAUUACUCAGCACGUGAGAAGUAACCAACUACAUUCUUUGCUGGUUUCUGCAGGAGACGCUUAUCCUACUGUGUCUCUCUUACAUUCUGCCUGUAACAGAGAAAGUCUUCGUUCAUGCCUUUGUUACAGCUGAGGAUUUCCAAGCUUGUAUCCUCACAGAGAUAAGAUGCCACAUUUAUACAUUAAAAGGAACAAAUCUCCAUCAAACCUGUGAACGGUUGUAAUUUCUUUAGUUUGUUUUUCCUUCCCUUAUGAGAAUCCUUAUAAUAAAGAAAAUG